rnacentral:rRNA from 1 species
UACGUAGGGACCAAGCGUUGUUCGGAUUUACUGGGCGUAAAGGGCGCGUAGGCGGCGCGGUAAGUCACUUGUGAAAUCUCUGAGCUUAACUCAGAACGGCCAAGUGAUACUGCAGUGCUAGAGUGCAGAAAGGGCAAUCGGAAUUCUUGGUGUAGCGGUGAAAUGCGUAGAUAUCAAGAGGAACACCUGAGGCGAAGGCAGGUUGCUAGGCUGACACUGACGCUGAGUGCGCGAAAGCCAGGGGAGCAAACGGG